rnacentral:tRNA from 2 species
GAAAAUGAUGGUUUAAUUCCUUCCCUUAUUA